UGGGUUCUUGUAGUUGAAGA
rnacentral:tRNA from 1 species